CUUGAAAAUGUUACGCCGGCCGUACAAACUCUACAAUGACAAAAUGUUACGCCGGCGGUACAAACUAUGCAUAAUCACAGACAGACAUUUCUUAAUGUUACGCCGGCGGUACAAACUCCCUAAGGUUCAUAAUCACACAGACAGAUAAUUCUAAAUGCUACGCCGGCGGUACAAAUUCCCUUAGGUUCAUAAUCACACAGACAGAUAAUUCUUUGAAAAUGUUACGCCAGCGGUACAAACUCCCUAAGGUUCAUAAUCACACAGACAGAUAAUUCUUUGAAAAUGUUACGCCGGCGGUACAAACUCCCUAAGGUUCAUAAUCACACAGACAGAUAAUUCUUUGAAAAUGUUACGCCGGCGGUACAAACUCCCUAAAGUUCAUAAUAACAUAGACAGAUAAAUUCUUUGAAAAUGUUACGCCAGCGGUACACACUUCCAGAUAUGCAUAAUCACACAGAAAAAAUCACACUGAAAAAAAUAGAAGGUAAACGACUUUUAAAUGUAUAAUUCUUAAUUUAUUUUUUAAUUAUAAAACAUGUAAUAAUAAAUACAAACACACACAAAGGUAUACCAUUAUGUUCGCAAUCCACCAGUCAGUAGGUCAGAAAAUUUAUAAAAGAGUGUGAAUGAUUCAAUAUUUUUUUAUGACUAACUAAAAUUAAUUAAUUCUUUUAUAAAAAAUACAUAACAUUUUUUUCAACAUGUGAA